UACGUAGGGUGCGAGCGUUGUCCGGAAUUAUUGGGCGUAAAGAGCUCGUAGGCGGUCUGUCGCGUCUGCUGUGAAAUCCCGAGGCUCAACCUCGGGCCUGCAGUGGGUACGGGCAGACUAGAGUGCGGUAGGGGAGAUUGGAAUUUACGGUGUAGCAGUGAAAUGCGUAGAUAUCGUAAGGAAGACAGUGGCGAAGGCGGAUCUCUGGACAGCUACUGACACUGAGGCACGAAGGCCAGGGGAGCAAACGGG
rnacentral:rRNA from 1 species